GGGGUUGUGGCUCAGUGGUAGUGCUCACCUAUCACUCGUGAGGCACUGGGUUCUAUCCUCAGCACCACA
rnacentral:tRNA from 1 species